rnacentral:misc_RNA from 1 species
GUAGGUGAACCUGCGGAGGGAUCAUUACAGAGAACAUCGCCCUCACGGGUGACUCUCCAACCCUAUGUUAUUAUACCUUUGUUGCUUUGGCGAGCCGCUUCGGCCACCGACUCCGGUUGGUGCGUGCUCGCCAGAGGACCACAAACUCUUGUUUAUUAGUGUCGUCUGAGUACUAUAUAAUAGUUAAAACUUUCAACAACGGAUCUCUUGGUUCUG